rnacentral:rRNA from 1 species
CUUGCUUUCUCCGCCGCGACCGGCGCACGGGUGAGUAACACGUAUGCAACCUGCCCCUGUCAGGGGGACAACCCGCCGAAAGGCGGGCUAAACCCGCGUACAUGCCACCGGGGCAUCCCGGAGGCAGGAAAGGCUUCGGCCGGACAGGGAUGGGCAUGCGGCGCAUUAGGCAGUAGGCGGGGUAACGGCCCACCUAACCGACGAUGCGUAGGGGUUCUGAGAGGAAGGUCCCCCACACUGGUACUGAGACACGGACCAGACUCCUACGGGAGGCAGCAG